AGAGUUUGAUCAUGGCUCAGGAUGAACGCUAGCGGCAGGCUUAAUACAUGCAAGUCGAGGGGCAGCAGGUCUGUAGCAAUACAGAUGCUGGCGACCGGCAAACGGGUGCGGAACACGUACGCAACCUUCCUUCAGGUGGGGGAUAGCCCGGGGAAACCCGGAUUAAUACCCCGUAAUAUUAUGAGGUGGCAUCACCUUAUAAUUAUAGCCGCAAGGCGCCAGAAGAUGGGCGUGCGCCUGAUUAGGUAGUUGGCGGGGUAACGGCCCACCAAGCCUACGAUCAGUAACUGGUGUGAGAGCACGACCAGUCACACGGGCACUGAGACACGGGCCCGACUCCUACGGGAGGCAGCAGUAAGGAAUAUUGGGCAAUGGACGAAAGUCUGACCCAGCCAUGCCGCGUGGAGGAUGAAGGUCCUCUGGAUUGUAAACUUCUUUUAUCUGGGAAGAAACCCACGGUUUCCACUGUGGUUGACGGUACCAGAUGAAUAAGCACCGGCUAACUCCGUGCCAGCAGCCGCGGUAAUACGGAGGGUGCAAGCGUUAUCCGGAUUCACUGGGUUUAAAGGGUGCGUAGGUGGGUUGCCAAGUCCGUGGUGAAAUCUCUGAGCUUAACUCAGAAACUGCCGUGGAUACUGGUAAUCUUGAAUAUCGCGGAGGUAAGCGGAAUAUGUCAUGUAGCGGUGAAAUGCUUAGAUAUGACAUAGAACACCGAUAGCGAAGGCAGCUUACUACACGAUCAUUGACACUGAGGCACGAAAGCGUGGGGGAGCAAACAGGAUUAGAUACCCUGGUAGUCCACGCCCUAAACGAUGAUUACUCGACAUACGCGAUACACUGUGUGUGUCUGAGCGAAAGCAUUAAGUAAUCCACCUGGGAAGUACGACCGCAAGGUUGAAACUCAAAGGAAUUGACGG
rnacentral:rRNA from 1 species